rnacentral:rRNA from 1 species
GACGAACGCUGGCGGCGUGCCUAAUACAUGCAAGUCGAGCGCUGAAGGUUGGUACUUGUACCGACUGGAUGAGCAGCGAACGGGUGAGUAACGCGUGGGGAAUCUGCCUUUGAGCGGGGGACAACAUUUGGAAACGAAUGCUAAUACCGCAUAAAAACUUUAAACACAAGUUUUAAGUUUGAAAGAUGCAAUUGCAUCACUCAAAGAUGAUCCCGCGUUGUAUUAGCUAGUUGGUGAGGUAAAGGCUCACCAAGGCGGUGAUACAUAGCCGACCUGAGAGGGUGGACGGCCAAAUUGGGAACGGAGACCGGCCCAAACCCCUACGGGGGGCAGCAGGAGGGGAUCUUCGGCAAUGGAGGAAAGUCUGACCGAACAACGCCGGGUGAGUGAAGGAGGUUUUCGGAUCGUAAAACUCUGUUGGUAGAGAAGGACGUUGGUGAGAGUGGAAAGCUCAUCAAGUGACGGUAACUACACAGAAAGGGACGGCUAACUACGUG